GGACGAGCUCUUAUGUUCAGAGAUGAGCAGCAAGAAACUAGAAGAGUGGCAAACACCAUACCAGAUGCUAUAGGAUACAUAGAGGAAAGCUUUUCAUUGUUUCUUCAAUGGACAAGUUUUCAUCAACAUUUUGGAAGAAAUGGAAACCAAUGGUGUGAAAGCUAAACUACCAGUCAGAAAGGCCAAGAGCUGUAAAGGAAAAGUGAAACCACAGACACCCAAGACCCUAGGAUCAAGAGUUGCCUAAUGAAGCAGAACUGGUUUGAGGCUGCUGCUCUCCAGUGUACGCAUCUUAUUUCUGGACGUAAGUACAGCCAUACUAUGUUUUAUUCAUCUGCUCCUCAUUGUUUUGCAGGCAAGUCACUGCCACUGAAGUCUAUAUUGUAUCAAGAAUACUUAACCCCUGGGAAGCUGAGAAGCGGGAGGUUCAUAGAGUGCUCUGGAGACAUGCCAGGUAUUCUUUCUACUCAAGGUCAUCUCUAGAAGAGCAUUCUUUUCCCUGCUGACUGCAAGGAGAGCCCUGGGAGUUUUUCCAUCCCCUCCAGAGGAUGGAUCUUACAAUGGCAGUUGGGACAUAAACAAAAUUCUUGUUGAAGAUGAUGAACUUGCCUGAUCCUUGUUGAUUGCAUCUCUAUAAUAGCCAUAGGGUGCUUUCAUUAGCUUUAAAUUUAAAAGUCAUUGGAGUAUUGUCAUAGAUUCAGGAUGGAAGCAGACCUGGCUGAGAUGGAGUUCCUGCUCCCAGCACUACUUACUAAUUUUAUUUUAAAUAGCCAUGGCAUAAAAAAACCCACAGAGAGACCCUUUGUUGUUGGAUAGAAUAUAUACAUUGCUUUCUCGGUAAAUAUACUAAUGAACAGAG